UACGAAGGGGGCUAGCGUUGCUCGGAAUCACUGGGCGUAAAGGGUGCGUAGGCGGGUCUUUAAGUCAGGGGUGAAAUCCUGGAGCUCAACUCCAGAACUGCCUUUGAUACUGAAGAUCUUGAGUUCGGGAGAGGUGAGUGGAACUGCGAGUGUAGAGGUGAAAUUCGUAGAUAUUCGCAAGAACACCAGUGGCGAAGGCGGCUCACUGGCCCGGUACUGACGCUGAGGUGCG
rnacentral:rRNA from 1 species